rnacentral:tRNA from 1 species
GAGGGUAGAGCUCAGUGGUAGAGCACGUGCUCAGCAUGCAUGAGGUCCUGGGUUCAAUUCGCAGCACCUCCA